rnacentral:rRNA from 1 species
GACGAACGCUGGCGGCGUGCCUAAUACAUGCAAGUCGAGCGGACGAAUCGAAAGCUUGCUUUUGAUUCGUUAGCGGCGGACGGGUGAGUAACACGUGGGCAACCUGCCCUGUAGACGGGGAUAACACCGAGAAAUCGGUGCUAAUACCGGAUAACACGAAAUGUCGCAUGACGUUUCGUUGAAAGACGGCGCAAGCUGCCGCUACAGGAUGGGCCCGCGGCGCAUUAGCUAGUUGGUGAGGUAACGGCUCACCAAGGGGACCAUACGUAGCCGACCUGAGAGGGUGAUAGGCCACACUGGGACUGAGACACGGCCCAGACUCCUACGGGAGGCAGCAGUAGGGAAUCUUCCGCAAUGGACGAAAGUCUGACGGAGCAACGCCGCGUGAGCGAAGAAGGCCUUCGGGUCGUAAAGCUCUGUUGUUAGGGAAGAACAAGUAACGCAGUAACUGGCGUUACCGUGACGGUACCUAACGAGAAAGCCACGGCUAACUACGUG